UUGACAUCCCGGAGACCCUUAGGAAACUAGGGGUGCUUCCAUCUGGAAGAAUCUGGAGACAGGUGCUGCAUGGCUGUCCCGUCAGCUCGUGUCGUGAGAUGUUGGGUUAAGUCCCGCAACGAGCGCAACCCUUGCCUUUAGUUGCCAGCAGUUCGGCUGGGCACUCUAAAGGGACUGCCGGUGUUAAACCGGAGGAAGGUGGGGAUGACGUCAAGUCCUCAUGGCCUUUAUGACCAGGGCUACACACGUACUACAAUGGCCGAUACAAAGGGCAGCGACACUGCGAGGUGAAGCCAAUCCCGUAAAAUCGGUCUCAGUCCGGAUUGGAGUCUGCAACUCGACUCCAUGAAGUUGGAAUCGCUAGUAAUCGUGGAUCAGCAUGCCACGGUGAAUACGUUCCCGGGCCUU
rnacentral:rRNA from 1 species